rnacentral:lncRNA from 1 species
AUGAGGUUUGUGCUUUGCAGCAGCCUCCCACUCAGCCACCUCCCAGGGCUACGUUCAGCUCUGCUGCAGGCCUUCAGGGAGGGCCAAGCCCAAGAAGCAGCAAAGCAGCAAGCAGGAAUCCUCCAGGUUGCAUGUCUGGCAAGAGCUGUCAAAGCAGAGCACCAGAUAAAACAGCGGGGAUGUAAAGGAAGAUCUGGAUAUCAGCACGUGGUAUCACUUCCUUUUAGGAAGCUGACCGUCAAAAGCAGAAGUGUCACUUGCAAUUAGGAAAAACUCUCCUGCACACCUCAAAAUUUAUUAGUGGUAUGAAGGUCUGUCUGCUAAACUCUGCACUGAACAAAACAACUGCAGUUUUUCCUCUAGAAAAAUCAUUUGCAUCACCACAGCAAAUGUACCUCUAAUCAAAAGUGACUUUUAUUUAGAUUCCACCUUUACAAUCCUUAAAAUGUCAUACUUCUGAGAUGCCAGCAAGGAACGCUUCACAUAUUCUCAUCUAGGAAAUGCAAUUUUUCCCCAGAAGUUUAUUGAAUAAACUGUUUAUUUUGAAAUAUACUUUGACAUAGUUCUGCAAUUUAAAGACACAUUAGAAAAUAGCAUUUUCAAGAUCAGAGAAAAGUGUAUGAUGCACUUAGAAGCUUCUGUUUAUAGUUACCGGGAUGAAAUUCAGGAAUAACUCAAUUAAAAAUACACAAACCCCAAAAUUACUUAGUGCAAUUUCGAGCAUCAGGCAGCUUUUUCUUCUAUAUCUUCCUAAUGUGUUUUCUUUGUGAAAUGACUUUGGUAUUUCUGUGAAGGACGUUGCUUCCCGCAAAAAGCUUCUAACUAAGAGCUUUGCUAAUUGCCAGACCACCACAUUUACAAAAAAAAAAUGUGAGUGGACAGUAACUAUUGCACCUAACAGAUGUACAUCAGCUCAAGUGAAUUUGCAGAGCUAGGGACAACUGCUCAGAAUACUGAUAGACUCAAAGAUUUUGGUAUUCUCUCAUCACCUUUCUUUGAAAUAUUUGAUUAACCUAGGAAGACACAAAUAAAUCAAAUCAGACAAAGCCAGCAGAACUUAUUCAGCAUAAGGCUAGCAUUUGUGCCAUUAAUACGACUAAUUGCUAUCAAUCAAUUUAUUUUGCUAGCAGUGGAGAUAAAAAAAAAUCUGGAGCAAAGGGCUUGCCUUUCAGAGGAG